rnacentral:rRNA from 1 species
UACAAUGGCAGUGACAAUGGGUUAAUCCCCAAAAGCUGUCUCAGUUCGGAUUGGGGUCUGCAACUCGACCCCAUGAAGUCGGAAUCGCUAGUAAUCGUGGAACAGCAUGCCACGGUGAAUACGUUCCCGGGCCUUGUACACACCGCCCGUCACACCAUGGGAGUUGGUUCUACCCGACGGCCGUGCGCCAACCUUUCGAGGAGGCAGCGGACCACGGUAGGAUCAGCGACUGGGGUGAAGUCGUAACAAGGUAGCCGUAGGGGAACCUGCGGCUGGAUCACCUCCUUUCUAAGG